rnacentral:misc_RNA from 1 species
AUGGACUACUGGGGUUUCUAAUCCUGUUUGCUCCCCACGCUGUCGCGCCUCAGCGUCAGCAACGGCCCAGCAGACCGCCUUCGCCACUGGUGUUCUUCCCGAUCUCUACGCAUUCCACCGCUACACCGGGAAUUCCAUCUGCCUCUACCGUGCUCCAGCCUGACAGUUUAGAAGGCAGCCUUGCGGUUGAGCCGCAAGAUUUCACCCCCUACUUAUCAGGCCGCCUACGCGCCCUUUACGCCCAAUGAAUCCGAACAACGCUUGAGACCUCUGUAUUACCGCGGCUGCUGGCACAGAGUUAGCCGUCUCUUCCUCUUCUGGUACUAUCAACUACCGAACAGUUAACUCGGUAGCAUUGUUCCCAAAUGACAGGAGUUUACAACCCGAAGACCUUCAUCCU